rnacentral:rRNA from 1 species
AAACGUAGGAGGCAAGCGUUAUCCGGAUUUAUUGGGCGUAAAGCGCGUGCAGGCGGCUUGGUAAGUUGGAUGUGAAAGCUCCUGGCUUAACUGGGAGAGGUCGUUCAAUACUAUCAAGCUAGAGAAUGGGAGAGGGAAGUGGAAUUCCGGGUGUAGUGGUGAAAUGCGUAGAUAUCCGGAGGAACACCAGUGGCGAAAGCGGCUUCCUGGACCAUUUCUGACGCUAGGACGCGAAAGCUAGGGGAGC